AACGAACGCUGGCGGCAGGCUUAACACAUGCAAGUCGAACGCAUCCUUCGGGGUGAGUGGCAGACGGGUGAGUAACGCGUGGGAACGUGCCCUUCAGUUCGGGAUAACCCAGGGAAACUUGGGCUAAUACCGGAUACGUGCGAGAGCAGAAAGAUUUAUCGCUGAAGGAUCGGCCCGCGUCUGAUUAGCUAGUUGGUGGGGUAAUGGCCCACCAAGGCGACGAUCAGUAGCUGGUCUGAGAGGAUGAUCAGCCACAAUGGGACGGAGACACGGCCCAAACUCCUACGGGAGGCAGCAGUGGGGAAUAGUGGACAAUGGGCGCAAGGCUAAUCCAGCGAUGCCGCGUGAGAGAUGAAGGCCUUAGGGUUGUAAAGCUCUUUCGUCCGGGACGAUAAUGACGGUACCGGAAGAAGAAGCCCCGGCUAACUUCGUGCCAGCAGCCGCGGUAA
rnacentral:rRNA from 1 species